ACCUCAUCUCUGGUGUGAGUGGGUUUCCUUUGCAGGUCCAUCUAGUAUCUCGACGUCUAAAUCACCCUCUACUUUCAGCCACAUCAACACCUCCAAAGUCUUGACGCAACAUGUAUAACACUCAUAGCAAUGUAUUUAUCAAAAAACUACUCAUACCACUAAUGGGUAUAUACAUAAAAGGCAUGCCGAAUGUGGAGGGGUUUGGGAACAUGAGCAUGGCCAAAUUUUUUCUGCUAUGACUGUUGUGUGUUUUGUUGGUACUUUAAGAUUCAUGCUCAAGUUUCUUUCCAUCUGAUUGUCCACGAUCGAACUAGUUGCGGCAAUUGGUGGCACUGGAGG
rnacentral:lncRNA from 1 species